AUUUCUUCCGGAUUUUUUUAUAUAAAAGCUUUUACGCAGCUAAUUUGCAUUACAGAUUUUUUUUAAAUUGCGACGCACUGCAUCCCACAAUGAAGGUUCUUGGACUGUUACUCUUUAUUACGAUGUCAUUGAUGUGCUGCGUCCGUGCUCAGAUUUUUUAUCCAGCGAUUGCAGUACGACAAAUUCCACUACUUCAGCAAAACGGAAACAUAGAAGUUUUGAGGAGGGUGGAAACAGCGUCGCCUCUUCCGCUUCCAAUGAGAAACCAAUUGGGCCAGAGGCUAAACUAAUGAAGUGACUUUUUUACUAAAGUAAAGAUUUUUAAUUUAAUACUAUUUUAACAAUAAAAAAUUAAACGAAAGUUAUAUUGA